rnacentral:rRNA from 1 species
CCUACGGGAGGCAGCAGUGAGGAAUAUUGGUCAAUGGGCGCGAGCCUGAACCAGCCAAGUAGCGUGAAGGAUGACUGCCCUACGGGUUGUAAACUUCUUUUAUAAAGGAAUAAAGUGAGGCACGUGUGCCUUUUUGUAUGUACUUUAUGUAUAAGGAUCGGCUAACUCCGUGCCAGCAGCCGCGGUAAUACGGAGGGUCCGAGCGUUAUCCGAUUUUAUUGGGUUUAAAGGGAGCGUAGAUGGGUUGUUAAGUCAGUUGUGAAAGUUUGCGGCUCAACCGUAAAAGUGCAAUUGAUACUGGCAGACUUGAGUGCAGAUGAGGUAGGCGGAAUUCGUGGUGUAGCGGUGAAAUGCUUAGAUAUCACGAAGAACUCCGAUUGCGAAGGCAGCUUACUAAACUGCAACUGACAUUGAUGCUCGAAAGUGUGGGUAUCAAACAGGAUUAGAUACCCGGGUAGUC